AGGGCAUUAGAUUUUCUUAAUGUUCUGUACGCUUUCCAGCAACUCGGCAACAGGACGUUGCCGAGAGCGAGAGCUGAGCCAUGGAUGGCGAAUCUCGAGCGGUUGCGUCAAGCUUAAUCCACCUAAACCAGAACAUUUAGAAAAUCUUACGCCCGA
rnacentral:ncRNA from 1 species